ensembl:lncRNA
GGGACACCAGUCUGGGUCCAGGUUUGGGGGGGGGGACCAGUCUGGGUCCAGGUUUGUGGGCCGGUCUGGGUCCAGGUUUGUGGGCCGGUCUGGGUCCAGGUUUGUGGGCCGGUCUGGGUCCAGGUUUGUGGGCCGGUCUGGGUCCAGGUUCGUGGGCCGGUCUGGGUCCAGGUUCGUGGGCCGGUCUGGGUCCAGGUUCGUGGGCCGGUCUGGGUCCAGGUUCGUGGGCCGGUCUGGGUCCAGGUUCGUGGGCCGGUCUGGGUCCAGGUUCGUGGGCCGGUCUGGGUCCAGGUUUCUGGGCCGGUCUGGGUCCAGGUUCGUGGGCCGGUCUGGGUCCAGGUUUGUGGGGCUGAGGUUGAGGCAAGGAUAUUGUAGAUAGUUGGUGAGGGCUGGUUGAGGGGUGUUGUAUUCAGUUCAGUAAUAGUCAUCAUGGACAACAAGGGGAGAAGGAAACUCCCUUUACUGGUCUGAUCUGGCCUUCUUUGGACCGGCAGCUUUCCUAAAGGAGAGAAACAACACGAUUCAACAGAUGAACAUAGACAGGGGGCUGGUGAAAGAGUCAGGAGAGAGCGUUAGGAGUGGAGCUGAGAGUCAAGACCAGAAUAAAAGUUGAGAGUUUAAGGUUCACCCGUGUUGAAUGUUCCAAUUUUUUUUUUUUUUUUUUUGUGCAUCUCUGAAGUGAUGUUGUAUCGAGUCAUGGAGAACAGAGAACAUCCCUGGUCAUCCCUACUGCCUCUGAUCUGGAGGACUCACUAAACAGAGAACAUCCUGUCAUGUUUAUCUAAGAUCUUGAUCAGAAACUCUGGCAGAGAUACAGUUGGUAUGAGGCAAAACGCAUUGUACCGGCUUGAUGUUUUUGUUUGAUAUCUUGAAAAGUUAAUUGCUGACAUGCAAAGCGUUUCGGACUGUAUCAACAGCGGACUAAUUAAACAAAUACCAAAAUAUCGUAGUGGAGCGUAAAGUUAAGAAUUAUGACAGAGGGGUCACAACUGACUACUCAAGUACUUCGUUCAAAUAAAUUCAAAGCAUUUUUUAUUUUUAGGAAUGUAUAGUUAAAUAACCUAUUAUUUCAUGUGGAUAUAUGAGAGAGAGAGAGAGAGAGACCGAGAGAGAGACAGA